GUGGUUUGAGCCCACUCACUUUGAAAACACAAUCAAGCGCCAACUGUUAGAAGUUCAGAGGACAAGGAACUUGAAUGCUGUAAAUUGUUGGCUUGAUUAGCGGGCGGAUUCUUUCUCUUGGAACAAAAAUCGAGCACAAAAAGAACUUCAUUUGUGAUGAAGUAAUGGAUAUAUGUGAAUAUUUCUUGUCCUCCUGAGGUUCUUGGAAAAAAAUUGCUUUGCUACAACAUUGUUCAAUAUGUGAUCUGGUUGGUAAGCAGGAGCUGUGAGGGCGGUGGAAGAAGCAGUUUUCUUUUGCUAUCACCUGGAUAGAACAUUAAUGGCUUAAUUACUGAUCGUUUUGUGACAAGUUGAUGCUUGGAAAAAAAAAAAAAAAAAGAGAAAAGCUAUGGGAGUACUCGGGCAGCAAUUUAAAUCUAAAACUAGAUGGAGCCCUAUGGUAAACGAAAUAUCGGCAUAAUUGAAAAUUUUAUGCCUGACUAGCUUACUAUUUCGGUUUUGAAGGUAUUUACAAGUUGAAGGCUAAAUUUCUGGAGCUUUUCAUCUAGUUUUGUUAAUGAAAAUUUAGUUAAUUUUUCAUAUUAAGGUACGCAUUCCACAUAAAUGGAUUGUGCUAUGAUGUAAAGUGGUCCUCAAGCUUUUAUAGUAUCAAUUUAUUGAUUUUCAUGC